CCUCCCAUUCUGCACAAGAGAUGAUUGAUUAUUUAAAGACAUAGACAGGGCAUUGUUAAAGAAAAAAUUAUUCAUGACCUUGUUAGAGACAGUAAGGCAGACUUUAUUCAAGGGGGGCCACCUCAACAGGGUUUUGUAUUAGGGGAGAGAGAUACGACUCAGCUUUGACUCUAACAAGGACAAGUGGGGAUUUAUAGCCAAGAAGAAGAGUAGGGGUCAGUGGACGGAAAAUUACUAAGAGGAAAAAUCAGGGUUCUUACUAGAAGACUCAGAAUUCUUGCUGAAGGCAGGCCAGGGUGGGAGAUUGUUGAUAAACUAAUUUAGCAGGAUUCUUGCUCAAAUAGAUUCUAUAAGGGCAGAGAGGGAAGCCCAAGAUCUGGCCUGGUCUAGCAGAGGGCUCACAGGAAUCUGGUUAAAAUUAGGUCAAAAAGAGAGUCUUUGUCAGCAGUAACCAAGAGUCAAUGGAGAUUACAAAGUUAGUGCAAUAAUGAUUAACCCUUAGUAUGGCCUGUUGCUGUUCUAAAAGCUUUGCAAUAUUAAUUUGUUUAAUCUUCACAAUAAUCAUGUGAGUAGAUAAUAUUAUUAUCUUCAUUUUACAGGUGAGGAAACUGAGGCACAGAGAGCUCAUGCAACUUUCCCCAAGUCUUCCAACUAUUGUCUGAAGGACUUAAACCCAGGAAGUUGGUUACUGAAUUUAUUGUCUAACCACAUAGUGACCUGAGGAAACAUCUUUCCGGAAAGGUUCAAUCUUUCACAUUUGAAUGAUCCUUAUAUAUCCUCAAACUUUCCAGAAGACAACCUGUGGCUAUGUAUUUUUUCAGUUGGCUUGUGCAGCACUUCUCAAAGUGUGGUCAAUGGACUCCUGGGGAGAUCCUCUGUGGAGUCUGUGAGCACUAUUCGGAAUAGCCAAGACAUGGAAACAAUCCAAGUGCCCAUCAAUUGAUGACUGGAUAAAGAAGAUGUGGUAUAUAUAUAUAUAUAUAUACACACAGUAGAAUACUACUCAGCUAUAAAAAAAGACAAAAUCAUCCCAUUUGCAACAACAUGGAUGGACCUGGAGGGUAUUAUGCUAAGUGAAAUAAGCCAGACUGAGAAAGGUGAACACCAUAUGAUUUCACUUAUAUGCAAAAUAUAAACAAACACAUGGACAAAGAAAAUAGUUCAGUGGUUACCAGGGGAAGAGGGGUGGAGGGUGGACACAGGGCUUGAAAGGGACCACCCAUGUGGUGACAGACAAGAAAUAACGUACAAGUGAAAUUUCACAAUGAUGUAAACUAUUAUGAACCGCAAUUAAAAAUAAAUAAAUAAAUAAAAGACACAGCCACUUUUUGAGUUUCAGUGUAGUGUCAAAAAAAAAUUCACAAUUAUUUAAUAGCAAUCCACAGUGACUAUUAAAAUACGCGCUCCUCCCUUUUCUAAUAACAUAUCUGUGUGGGGCCAGAUUUUCUUCAUAUACUUUAAUCAAGACAACAUAUCACAACAGAAAGAAUGUAGGAGAUACAAGAAUCCAGUUGUCUUCUAGUAAUCCAGACAUCAAGAGAUUUGCCAAAAUGUAAAACGAUCUCCUCAUUAAUUGUUUUUUUGUUUUGGAAAAUACAGGUAUGUGGUUUUUUGUUUGUUUGUUUUUGGUGAGGAAGGUCAGCCCUGAGCUAACAUCUGUUGCCAAUCUUCCUCUUUUUGCUUGAAGAAGAUUGUCCCUAAGCUAACAUCUGUGCCCAUCUUCCUCUUUUGCUUGAAGAAGAUUGUCCCUAAGCUAACAUCUGUGCCCAUCUUCCUCUAUUUUUUGUAUGUGGGAUGCCACCACGGCACGGCUUGAUGAGCGGUGUAUGGAUCCUCGCCUGGGGUCCAAACCCGUGAACCAUGGGCCACCGAAGUGGAGUACAUGAAAUUAACCACUACUCCACCAGGCCAGCCCCAUAGUUAUGUUUUAUAAAAAUGUUACUUAUGUCAAUAAGUAGUGGGAUUAUUAUUGUUAUCCUUAAUAGAACUAAUAAAUAAAAAUAAAGAAUUUCUCAGUUCUAAUUUCUAAUGCUAUAAAUUUUAUAGAUAUAAUCCAUGUAAACCAAAGUUCUUUAAGGUUCUCAAUAAUAUGUAAGAGUAAAAGGCAGUGGUGUGUUGGAGCUGGCUGGC
rnacentral:lncRNA from 1 species